GCAUGGAUGAAUUCUGCACUAGCUUUUCUCAGUAGCUAAUGCAGUCAGACACUAUGCCAGAAUAAAUUCCUUUUUCAUACCGAUGGGUGUGCUUUUUGUCCAAGAACGGGCACGCCUUUGGAAUGGGGACACAU
rnacentral:snoRNA from 1 species